rnacentral:rRNA from 1 species
AACGGCCGUACCAUGCUGAAUAUACCGGUUCUCGUUAGAUCACCGAAGUUAAGCAUCAUUGGGCGCGGUCAGUACUUGGGUGGGUGACCACCUGGGAACACUGCUUGCCGU